rnacentral:antisense_RNA from 10 species
GUCUGGAGUCAAGUUAGCCCCCGUUUUGUUGCCAGGUUUAUACCGAACAACGUGCGGGGGUUUUCU